rnacentral:tRNA from 1 species
CAAGUUAUAUAUAGGUAAUAAUUGUUAUUUACAUUAAUAAUUAAUUUGUGCAAUUCAAGUUGACUUGA